rnacentral:lncRNA from 1 species
CACGUAAUCCAGACCGCAGAGAAAGGGCCGACUCUGUUCAGAGCAAGACUUGGGGCCAAGCGUCUGCUGCUGCUCUAGGCUGGACCUGCAGCGCACCGAUGUCAGAGGAGGUCGAUCGUGGAUUUCAGUGACUUCUGCCCAACUUCAGCACCGCAGUGAAGUACUCCUGUAGACAGUGUCAAUGCCGAUGGCAGGAUGAACUUAAAGGCAGCCGGGGCCGACAGACCAAUCACUGCUCUUAAGAAGAUCCCUGAAAGAGUUUCUCUUAACACAGAAGAUUCUGGAUUACUUGGUAGCCUGUAAGGCAAGACAGGUUUGGGAAAGUCAGAUCUCUGCUGAGAAAAGUCAAGCAUUUUGCCACUGGAGGAUUUUCAUCUCAGACUUUGGUUCUUAAGACCCUUCUGCGAAAGGCUUUCUGUCAGUGGGCACUCAGCCUCACGCAGGAUAUUGAGUCACCACCACCUGGCAGAGGACAAGCUUUGGAAGCAGUUUCCAUGCAACAACAGUUA